UCCAAAGUCACACAAAAAAAAGUUUGGAGUGUGUAACCAGAGAGUCAGGGGGAGGUUUUCAUGUUGUACUGCAGUCGCUCAGAUGUCAGUUUGAAUUUCAGAUUUGGGAUUUGGAAGCAUAAAAUGCGGCCUUGUAAUGGGAAACUACCAAGGAAACUUUUGGAUGUUUUGACUGUUACCUCCAAAAUAAGAGGCAGGGGAGGGGCCUGGACAGGAUCGGGGAUGCAUGAAGUAUCAGGUACAAAUAUGGGUCCUUUCUGGAACAAACGCUGAGGCACUAUUUGGAUUAGCCGUUUGCUCCGCUCAGGGUGGUCUGGGAUACAGAGUUUAUGUUUAAUUUAAACAUACGCUCUGUCUGAGUCUGCAUACUGUCACUGAGCUGAGAAAAGCCAUGCUGCCCAUAAAACAAGAGGUGAGAUUGUAGGACUAAUGUGUAGCUGAUGACUGGACCCAUAAAAAAUGUUUUGUUUGUUUGCAAUCUGACAGAGAAUUGUGUGGAACUCACACGCAGAAUAGAUUUAUAGAUAUAGUUCUCACCUUUUCAUGAAGUUGCUGUCUUGGAUUGUGCAACUUACCUUUCAUUCUCUCGAUCAUCUGUGCGACUGUGUUAGCCUGGGACAAAAGAUUAAUUUGUCUCGAAAGAGUUGGUUGGAAAUCCCUCAUCAGAAAAGGCUGUUUGUAAAAGGAAUGUAGGUCUCUCAGUCAGGCGGGAGAACAAAGAUUGACCACCCAAGAAUUUAAGAAUAUAAGAACUUAAGGUUAAGACAUUUGAUAUUGAAGUGCAACAUCCCCAGUUUGUGUUCAGUUGAGGAACUUUGUUGCAUGUCAUUUCCCGUUUCUGUUUCCCCUCUUUUCCUCUCAAAUCAGCACCGAAACAACCAUCUAAGUUGAAAUUCCAAGUUGGAAAUCCGAGACUGACUUCACCGACAAAACUUUUCACCACUUUUUAUUUCAAGUACGAUCUGCAGUGAUCAUAUCAGUUGAUACAUGUUUGAUCUUAGUCUUGUCGAGCAGCCCGUGCAAGUUAAAUCAGCUCCUGUAGUUGCCUGUGAAGUUCACAGACUUGCCGUUUAAACAUCCGUUUCGUGCCACAUCCACGUUCUCCAGAGCAGAUGCACUGGGUGCAAUUUAGGUUGGAAGUCGGGAAUAGUGAAUUGCGACUUGCAAUGGAUUGCAGCAAAACAUGACAACUUUUUUUUUUACCUGAUGAUGGUGCUCAUGGAAACGUUUAGGGUUCUUACAAUUCAUCAAGGAGCUGACCUGACACGCCAGAUGAUGUUUUUUUUCUACACAGAACGUUGGUGGACACCCUUGGAAACUGCAUAAAAGGGCUCUCAUCAAGAAAUACUUGGCAGCAGUUGCUUCUCUCACGAGAUGUUACAGCUAAAGCACGUCCAUAGCUGCCAGUGGUUCCUCGCAGGGCGCCCACUGGUCCAAACCACUGUGGUUCAUCCGCAGGUUGAAUCCCGCCGAGAUGGAUUUCCCGAAUCACGCUAGCUCCCAAGCUCCAGCGGAAAACAGAGACAAGCUUGCGGAGGUUGUCGAUUGAGAAAGCUGUCAGCUGCACUGACGCACCACAGACUCACCGCUAAAACACUCUUGAUCAGAGUGUAGAGUAAACACAGCCUGUCUGGACACGGGCCGGGAUAUCAAUCAGACAGUGAAGGGCUACAAGAGAAAACGACAGGUACUGACCUGUCACGGUUCGGCAGAGAGAACCGGAUGAAGAUUUGUUUUUAAUUAAACAGCAGA